rnacentral:rRNA from 1 species
CUACCAGACUCCUACGGGAGGCAGCAGUGGGGGAUAUUGCACAAUGGGGGGAACCCUGAUGCAGCGACGCCGCGUGGGUGAAGGAGUAUUUCGGUCUGUAAAGCCCUAUCGGCAGGGAAGAAGAAAGACGGUACCUGACUAAGAAGCCCCGGCUAACUACGUGCCAGCAGCCGCGGUAAUACGUAGGGGGCGAGCGUUAUCCGGAUUCACUGGGUGUAAAGGGAGCGUAGACGGCCAAGCAAGCCAGGGGUGAAAGCCCGGGGCUCAACUCCGGGACUGCUUUUGAAACUGUUGAACUAGAGUGCAGGAGAGGUAAGUGGAAUUCCUAGUGUAGCGGUGAAAUGCGUAGAUAUUAGGAGGAACACCAGUGGCGAAGGCGGCUUACUGGACUGUAAAUGACGCUGAGGCUCGAAAGCGUGGGGAGCAAACAGGAUUAGAUACCCCGGUAUA